rnacentral:rRNA from 2 species
GGUGAAGUCGUAACAAGGUAGCCGUACGGGAACGUGCGGCUGGAUCACCUCCUUU